rnacentral:rRNA from 1 species
GACAGAGGCCUCGAGCGUUAGGCGGAAUCACUGGGCUUAAAGCGUGUGUAGGCGGGCCCGUAAGUGUCUUGUGAAAUCCCACGGCUCAACCGUGGAACUGCUGGGCAUACUGCGGGUCUUGGGCCAACUAGGGGCAGCCGGAACAAGCGGUGGAGCGGUGAAAUGCGUAGAUAUGACAUAGAACACCAAUUGCGAAGGCAGCUCACUACCCAGAUAUUGACACUGAGGCACGAAAGCGUGGGGAUCAAACAGG